CCUACGGGAGGCAGCAGUGGGGAAUUUUGGACAAUGGGCGCAAGCCUGAUCCAGCAAUGCCGCGUGCAGGAUGAAGGCCUUCGGGUUGUAAACUGCUUUUGUACGGAGCGAAACGGUCUGCUUUAAUACAGUAGGCUAAUGACGGUACCGUAAGAAUAAGCACCGGCUAACUACGUGCCAGCAGCCGCGGUAAUACGUAGGGUGCGAGCGUUAAUCGGAAUUACUGGGCGUAAAGCGUGCGCAGGCGGUUAUAUAAGACAGAUGUGAAAUCCCCGGGCUCAACCUGGGACCUGCAUUUGUGACUGUAUAGCUAGAGUACGGUAGAGGGGGAUGGAAUUCCGCGUGUAGCAGUGAAAUGCGUAGAUAUGCGGAGGAACACCGAUGGCGAAGGCAAUCCCCUGGACCUGUACUGACGCUCAUGCACGAAAGCGUGGGGAGCAAACAGGAUUAGAUACCCUGGUAGUCCACGCCCUAAACGAUGUCAACUGGUUGUUGGGUCUUCACUGACUCAGUAACGAAGCUAACGCGUGAAGUUGACCGCCUGGGGAGUACGGCCGCGAAGGUUGAAACGUCAAAUGAAAUUGACGG
rnacentral:rRNA from 1 species